GAACCAUUCUUACCUACGUUCAUCUCCUCAUAGAAACUACCUUGCUCCUGAGCACAGCAGUCUCUCCCUUUAGCCUGGAAGCUCCCACAAUUGAAGGGGAAGGUUCCGUGCAGCAAUAAGAUCAUCAAAUGGGGUUUAAACACUGCUAUUCUUCUGAUCAGGACGAUCAAGUUACAGCACAGAACGUUUACAGGACUUGCUGCUAAGCUGCUGAGCAACAACUAGUAUUUCUUUGGGUCUGCUAAGUGACAGAUGAAUUUGCCUCACAAUGAAAAAUAAAAGCCAUUUCUAGAUUCAUGUCAAGGCAAAAAAAGAGGCCCUAACAUUGCAGAACUACAGUUAGAGCUCUAACUUAAUGUGAGUAUGUAAAAUAAAUAUUUUAAAAAUAUUACAAUCAUAAUGUAAUAUAUGUGUCUAAAAGAAGUUUCUUAAGGAAAAAAAAUAAGUUUUUUUUUUCAUGAUAUUUUAAGCUGCCUGGUCAGCUGCACACCGAUCCCCACAUAUGGAACAGAUUUCGGUUGAUGGUUAUACCUUUAAUGUGCAGGUCAGCUGACUUAUAUGGCUACCUUUCUCUCCACUGUGGAUACGUGGAGUCCUCAGUGCAGGACUUCUGGGAGUUCCUAGAGUAAAGAUUAUAUUCUCAGGGCAACUACAGCCUCCCAAGUCCUUGAGCAUUAUUUACUGUCUCAGUCUUCCACAUCCAUUUGGUUUGAAUCAGAGCACAUUUCUUUUCUUUUCACCUCAAAAGAAGAAGAAGAAGAAGGAGAAGAAGGAGGAGGAGGAGGAGGAGGAGGAGGAAGAGGAGAAAAAGAAGAAGAAAGAAAGAAAGAAAGAAAGAAAGAAAGAAAGAAAGAAAGAAAAGUGCAUGUUAAACUACUGAUUAGAAUAAUAAACCUUCUUGAACUAGUGAAGAACAUAGUUUAGAACACAGAAAUUAGGGUUAUAAAUGAGGAUUUGCUUUUCAUAAAAAAAGAACUUCUCAAGAAACAAGUAGAAAUUGCUCUUUCAUCGUGCAAUUUUAGUGGCUAUGUCGACCUCUUGUCAUCUGUGUCACUCAGACAAAACUCAUGAGCUCCUUUCAGCUCUGUUCCUCAAUCCUGCCUUUUUGCACUGUUCCCAAGUUCAUAUCCAUUGGUAUCAGCCACAAUAGCUUCAUCCCCAACCCACCUUCACCCAACUCCAGCCUGAGCUUCCCGGGUCUUUCUGAGUAAGGAUGCAGAGCACAGAGACGGAUGCUGGAAGGGUGUGUGCAAAUGGUGAAGAGGGCAUGUGCUGUAAUCCAGAAUCUGAAGACGGAUAGGCUGAUGUCAGGGACGCAGUGUAGCACACACCGUCAGUGCUCCAUUUGUAUUUCUUAGACUGUGAGUGUGCUCCUGUCAACGUGAGUCUGUCACCAUCUUUGUGCAUGAGGGCUGAUUUUCUUAACUCAUAUGGGAUUUCUUCAUCUACAAGCAUGAGCAUCAGCCCACAAAUGCCUGUAAUUAACAAUGCUCAGGAGCAGUGCUCUAUCAGUGACUCUCUGCCUUAGGUAUACAAUUACUCCUUGAUUCCGUUUGGAUUUUGACAUUCCUCCAAAGCUCCAUGUGUUAAAGACUUGGUGUACAGCAUGGCCUUAUUGGAAGGAAGUAAAGCCUUCAAAAGCUGAACCUAGCACAAGAUUUUAGGUCACUGAGGGUGUGCCUUUGAAGGGGAUACUGGGACCCUGGCCCUGCCCUUUCCUUCCUGUCACUUUUGCUCUUUCUGUUAUAAAGUGGACAGCUUCGUCUGGCUUGUGUGGCUGCCAUGGUACUGCGACCACAAGCACAGAAGGACCAACUGAUUGAAACCUUCAGAUCUGUGAGCUGAAAUAAACCUUAUCUCAGGUAUCUUGUUAUAAUAACAACUGACUUAGACACCUCCUCUCCCUUAUCUGUUAAACACAAUAAUUUAAAGAUACUGUUUCUCUGCUCUCUAAAUAUAUCCCUGUGUAAGUCAUGUUUACUUAUCCAAAUGAUAACUGUCCCAAUAACCAUGCUGAACAGGCAACUCUUUCUUUUCUCUCGCUUUCUUAUUAACCUGCUGGUAUUCCAUGGUACUCCCAGGUAACAUGUGCCUCAGAUCUGCUUGUAAAGAUCUCAAUUACAGAAACCAUCACCUAAAUUGGAAAUUUUUGGUUUAUAUUUAUAAUAUUAUUUUUAAAAACACAAAUAUCAUCAUUAAAAUUCUCAUUGAUGACUUUGGCUGCUAACAGUGACCUUCAUUGGUCUUUGUGAUGGCCAUGCCCAAGAAGAGACAAUCAUGUUACAAAAAGAUGGAGUACAAAUUAGCUGAUGCCAUUUAUUUUGGUUACAUCAUUAAUACUUAACAUUUGGGCUGGCCUAUGAGUAUUGUCAAGAAACUUCAGUGUUUAUAACAUACUCAUUUGGGGUUAUAUAUUUCAGUGUCUAUGAAUUUACAAUUUUGGCAAGUGAUUUCCUUUUGUUUUUAAUGGUAGGUGUCCCUUAUUGUUGAAAUUUGAAAAUGUUGACACAUUCACAUUGUAUAGAAUAUUAUCAUGAACUUGUAACCAAAGUAUGGUCUCAUAUUAUUACUUCUAACUUUAACUGGGAAAAUUGUAUUGUUUCCCUUCAAGAAUGUCAGACAUUAGGUUGACAUUUUAAGAAAUAAUAACAUGACAUAGUAAUUAUUUUUUAAUCAAUGAUAUUUUAAAAUAUAGGCUUUCUAUAUCUACACUAUGUUAGCAGUGUGAACUUGUU